rnacentral:rRNA from 1 species
GAUGAACGCUGGCGGCGUGCCUAAUACAUGCAAGUCGAGCGAACAGACGAGGAGCUUGCUCCUCUGACGUUAGCGGCGGACGGGUGAGUAACACGUGGAUAACCUACCUAUAAGACUGGGAUAACUUCGGGAAACCGGAGCUAAUACCGGAUAAUAUAUUGAACCGCAUGGUUCAAUAGUGAAAGACGGUUUUGCUGUCACUUAUAGAUGGAUCCGCGCCGCAUUAGAUAGUUGGUAAGGUAACGGCUUACCAAGGCAACGAUGCGUAGCCGACCUGAGAGGGUGAUCGGCCACGCGGGAACUGAGACACGGUCCAGAAUCCUACGGGAGGCAGCAGUAGGGAAUCUUCCGCAAUGGGCGAAAGCCUGACGGAGCAACGCCGCGUGAGUGAUGAAGGUCUUCGGAUCGUAAAACUCUGUUAUUAGGGAAGAACAAAUGUGUAAGUACCUAUGCACGUCUUGACGGUACCUAAUCAGAAAGCCACGGCUAACUACGUG